AAUUGGAAUGAUGAAACUUUCUCCUUAGGUGGAUGCAACUGACUGUUUUGGUCACUUACAGCAUCUGCCGAUGCUGGGGUCUGUCAUAGUUACACUGACCACAU
rfam:Picoides pubescens contig56003, whole genome shotgun sequence.